AUUGGAGGGCAAGUCUGGUGCCAGCAGCCGCGGUAAUUCCAGCUCCAAUAGCGUAUAUUAAAGUUGUUGCAGUUAAAAAGCACGUAGUUGAACCUUGGGUCUGGCUGACCGGUCCGCCUCACCGCGAGUACUGGUUCGGCUGGACCUUUCCUUCUGGGGAACCUCAUGGCCUUCACUGGUUGUGGGGGGAACCAGGACUUUUACUGUGAAAAAAUUAGAGUGUUCAAAGCAGGCCUUUGCUCGAAUACAUUAGCAUGGAAUAAUAGAAUAGGACGUGCGGUUCUAUUUUGUUGGUUUCUAGGACCGCCGUAAUGAUUAAUAGGGAUAGUCGGGGGCGUCAGUAUUCAGCUGUCAGAGGUGAAAUUCUUGGAUUUGCUGAAGACUAACUACUGCGAAAGCAUUCGCCAAGGAUGUUUUCAUUAAUCAGGGAACGAAAGUUAGGGGAUCGAAGACGAUCAGAUACCGUCGUAGUCUUAACCAUAAACUAUGCCGACUAGGGAUCGG
rnacentral:rRNA from 1 species